rnacentral:rRNA from 1 species
UGCUUUUCAAACUUAGCGGCGGACGGGUGAGUAACACGUGGGCAACCUGCCCUUGAGACGGGGAUAACUCCGGGAAACCGGAGCUAAUACCGGAUAACACAUAUCUUCGCAUGAGGAUAUGUUAGAAGUGGCUUUUAGCUACCACUCAAGGAUGGGCCCGCGGCGCAUUAGCUAGUUGGUGAGGUAACGGCUCACCAAGGCGACGAUGCGUAGCCGACCUGAGAGGGUGAUCGGCCACACUGGGACUGAGACACGCCCAGACUCCUACGGGAGGCAGCAGUAGGGAAUCUUCCGCAAUGGACGAAAGUCUGACGGAGCAACGCCGCGUGAGUGAUGAAGGUUUUCGGAUCGUAAAGCUCUGUUGUUAGGGAAGAACAAGUACUGUUAAAUAAGCAGGUACCUUGACGGUACCUAACCAGAAAGCCACGGCUAACUACGUGCCAGCAGCCGCGGUAAUACGUAGGUGGCAAGCGUUGUCCGGAAUUAUUGGGCGUAAAGCGCGCGCAGGGGUUCCUUAAGUCUGAUGUGAAAGCCCACGGCUCAACCGUGGAGGGUCAUUGGAAACUGGGGAACUUGAGUGCAGAAGAGGAGAGCGGAAUUCCACGUGUAGCGGUGAAAUGCGUAGAGAUGUGGAGAACACCAGUGGCGAAGGCGGCUCUCUGGUCUGUAACUGACGCUGAGGCGCGAAAGCGUGGGGAGCGAACAGGAUUAGAUACCCUGGUAGUCCACGCCGUAAACGAUGAGUGCUAAGUGUUAGAGGGUUCCGCCCUUUAGUGCUGCAGCAAACGCAUUAAGCACUCCGCCUGGGGAGUACGGUCGCAAGACUGAAACUCAAAGGAAUUGACGGGGACCCGCACAAGCGGUGGAGCAUGUGGUUUAAUUCGAAGCACGCGAAGAACCUUACCAGGUCUUGACAUCCUCUGCUACUUCUAGAGAUAGAAGGUUCCCUUCGGGGACAGAGUGACAGGUGGUGCAUGGUUGUCGUCAGCUCGUGUCGUGAGAUGUUGGGUUAAGUCCGCACAGCGCAACCCUUGAUCUUAGUUGCCAGCAUUUAGUUGGGCAUCUAAGGUGACUGCCGGU